UACAAAGGGGGCAAGCGUUGUUCGGAAUUACUGGGCGUAAAGGGCGCGUAGGCGGCCUGUUAAGUCGGACGUGAAAUCCCUCGGCUCAACCGGGGAACUGCGUCCGAUACUGGCGGGCUUGAAUUCGGGAGAGGGAUGUGGAAUUCCAGGUGUAGCGGUGAAAUGCGUAGAUAUCUGGAGGAACACCGGUGGCGAAGGCGGCAUCCUGGACCGACAUUGACGCUGAGGCGCGAAAGCGUGGGGAGCGAACCGG
rnacentral:rRNA from 1 species